UGAUCCUGCCAGUAGUCAUAUGCUUGUCUCAAAGAUUAAGCCAUGCAUGUCUCAGUACAAGCCAAAUUAAGGUGAAACCGCGAAAGGCUCAUUAAAUCAGUUAUGGUUCCUUAGAUCGUACCCACAUUUACUUGGAUAACUGUGGUAAUUCUAGAGCUAAUACAUGCAAACAGAGCUCUGACUGGAGACGGAAAGAGUGCUUUUAUUAGAUCAAAACCAAUCGGCGUCGGGUUCCGUUUACGCGGGCUCGUUCGUCGCCCUAUUUGGUGACUCUGAAUAACUUUUGGCUGAUCGCACGGUCUUGCACCGGCGACGCAUCUUUCAAAUGUCUGCCUUAUCAACUGUCGAUGGUAGGUUCUGCGCCUACCAUGGUUGUAACGGGUAACGGGGAAUCAGGGUUCGAUUCCGGAGAGGGAGCCUGAGAAACGGCUACCACAUCCAAGGAAGGCAGCAGGCGCGCAAAUUACCCACUCCCGGCACGGGGAGGUAGUGACGAAAAAUAACGAUACGGGACUCAUCCGAGGCCCCGUAAUCGGAAUGAGUACACUUUAAAUCCUUUAACAAGGACCAAUUGGAGGGCAAGUCUGGUGCCAGCAGCCGCGGUAAUUCCAGCUCCAAUAGCGUAUAUUAAAGUUGUUGCGGUUAAAAAGCUCGUAGUUGAAUCUGUGUCCCGCGCUGUCGGUUCACCGCCCGCGGUGUUUAACUGGCACGUCUCGCGGGACGUCCUGCCGGUGGGUGCGUUGUUCGUUCUAUAUGUACACUUUAUUAUGUUAUAUGUGAUUUCCAAUAAAUACUUACGAUAAUGUUACCUAUUUUAUAUAUAUAUAUUUUAUAUGUAUAUAUUUAGUGUUUUCAUUAGUUCGGAGUUUUGUUGGUGCAUGUAUAUACAUUUUAAAUGUGUCUUUAGUUCUGAAUACCACCCGACUUACGAAUCCUGUCGCGGUGCUCUUAACCGAGUGUCGAGGCGGGCCGGCACGUUUACUUUGAACAAAUUAGAGUGCUCAAAGCAGGCUAAAAUUUCGCCUGAAUAUUGUGUGCAUGGAAUAAUGGAAAAGGACCUCGGUUCUAUUUUGUUGGUUUUCGGAAACCCCGAGGUAAUGAUUAAUAGGGACAGAUGGGGGCAUUCGUAUUGCGACGUUAGAGGUGAAAUUCUUGGAUCGUCGCAAGACGGACAGAAGCGAAAGCAUUUGCCAAAAAUGUUUUCAUUAAUCAAGAACGAAAGUCAGAGGCUCGAAGGCGAUCAGAUACCGCCCUAGUUCUGACCAUAAACGAUGCCAGCUAGCGAUCCGUCGACGUUCCUCCGAUGACUCGACGGGCAGCUUCCGGGAAACCAAAGUUUUUGGGUUCCGGGGGAAGUAUGGUUGCAAAGCUGAAACUUAAAGGAAUUGACGGAAGGGCACCACCAGGAGUGGGGCCUGCGGCUUAAUUUGACUCAACACGGGAAAUCUCACUAGGUCCGGACACCGGAAGGAUUGACAGAUUGAGAGCUCUUUCUUGAUUCGGUGGGUGGUGGUGCAUGGCCGUUCAUAGUUGGUGGAUUGGUUUGUCUGGUUAAUUCCGAUAACGAACGAGAUUCUAGCCUGCUAACUAGGCGUUCUCCGGUAUCUAGAAGGCUCGCGGCUCUCGUUAACGUGAACAUUGUGUUCAAAUACGAAGUGUAUGUUGUGUUCUAUAGGUCUUACUUGUUUAUGAAAUGUGUAAUGGUAGCAAUACUAUUGCAUAUGAUUAUCAGGUGUAGAUCUAUAAAUCCACUGCAUUAGUUUUGGCCAUGUUUACGGUACGAGUGUUCGCGGUUUUUACUACCGGCGUACAAUUAAAUCUUCUUAGAGGGACAGGUGGCGCUUAGCCGCACGAGAUUGAGCAAUAACAGGUCUGUAAUGCCCUUAGAUGUUCUGGGCCGCACGCGCGCCACACUGAAGGAAUCAGCGUGUCCUCCCUGGCCGAAUGGUCCGGGUAACCCGCUGAACCUCCUUCGUGCUAGGGAUUGGGGCUUGCAAUUAUUCCCCAUGAACGAGGAAUUCCCAGUAAGCGCGAGUCAUAAGCUUGCGUUGAUUAAGUCCCUGCCCUUUGUACACACCGCCCGUCGCUACUACUGAUUGAAUGAUUUAGUGAGGUCUUCGGACUGGUACGCGGUGGAAUUUUUCGAUUUUACCGAUGUCGCUGGGAAGAUGACCAAACUUGAUCAUUUAGAAGAAGUAAAAG
rnacentral:rRNA from 1 species